GAAAGCUGCAUACGGGGAAUCUGUACGUGCAGUUUGAUGAGGAGGGGGAGGUUGUUAAGACCUCUUCUUUACUCUAGC
rnacentral:ncRNA from 1 species